rnacentral:rRNA from 1 species
UACGUCGGGGGCGAGCGUCGUCCGGAGUUACUGGGCGUAAAGGGCACGCAGGCGGUCAUGUAAGUCUGUUCUGACAGCUCCUGGCUCAACCGGGAGAGGCGAACGGAAACUGUAUGACUUGAGGACUUCAGAGGGACACGGAAUUCCGGGUGGAGUGGUGAAAUGCGUAGAGAUCCGGAGGAACACCAAAGGCGAAGGCAGUGUCCUGGGAAGUACCUGACGCUCAGGUGCGAAAGCCAGGGGAGCGAACGGG